AUGGACAAUAUGGACAAUAUGGACAAUAUGGACACCACAUUUUAUCAUGGAGGUGAAAAAACUCCCCAUUUGAUUUUCUGUUCCAUAAGGAUAAGACCAGGAAGGAGAAAAGCACUAGGCUGACAGGAGAGGAGGAACCACUGCACCAUCUGCAGGCUCUGACUCAUCCAUCUGCCUUCCUCUGAGCAGCGACUAAUUCUGGG